rnacentral:tRNA from 1 species
UCCCAUAUGGUCUAGUGGCUAGGAUUCGGCGCUUUCACCGCCGCGGCCCGGGUUCGAUUCCCGGUGUGGGAA